ensembl:lncRNA
CUGGAAGGGGUGCAACAUUAGAUGGGCUGGUCAGGGAAGGCUUCUCUGAUGAGCUGACAUUUGAGCAGGGACAUGCAUGGUAACAGUCUCUAGCCUUAUGAAGCUCAGUAAGAACCACGUCCCUGAGGUUGGAACAAAUGGACAAAAUGAAGAGGAGAAGAUGGCAGAUUGCUUAAUUUCUUGAAAUGUGAUGAUCAAGAACACAGCUUGGAAGUUCAACGGACCGUAAGUUUGAGCCAAGACUGAACCGCAAAGGACACAUUCCUACUUUCACAGAAGUAGAAUCUAUUCCUUCCCUCCUCUUGAACCUGGGCAAGCCUGAGUGAUUUGUUUGGUCAAUAGAGUGGGAUGGAAGUAACGUUCUGGAACAGCUGAGUCCCGGUCAUAAGAAGCCAGGCCAUCUCUCUCUGAGCCUUCUGGAACCAUCACUCUAGGGAAAGUAAGCUACCAAUCAGGAGUCUGAUUACCCUGAGACCACCAUGCUGUAGGAAGCCCAAGUCACAUGGAAAGGCCCUGGAAGAAGACAUGCUAUGUGGAGAGAGAGAAAAAGAGAGCGGCCAAGGAGGACUGAGGCACCAGACGUAGUUGUGCUCUCUCUGGGCCCUGCAGUGAAGUUUUGGCCUGGUGCCUAGAAACACCUCCAUGUUACUCAGAACAAGGCGAGGUGCAAACCAAACCAAUGGCACGGAAGGUCCCUUGCUGCUUCUAGAAUCUGGUGUGUGUCCGUGAUCCCACUCUUCUCUGCACCUCUGCCUGCUCUCCCAAAUGAAGACUGCCCAUCCGGCUCAUCACCUUGGUCCUACCUAGCUUUCCAGGCCAAGUUCAAAUUCUUCCUUUGCAAUGGAACUGAGGACCACCUCAUUGGUCCCAUAUAUCUCUUCUCUUCUUGAUCCAAAUCCCUGCUCAAAAGGAAGAUUAGCCCUGAGCUAACAUCCAUGCCCAUCUUCCUCUAUCUUAUAUGUGGCAUGCUGCCACAGCAUGGCUUGAUAAGUGGUGUGUAGGUCCAUGCCCAGGAUCUGGGCUGGCAAACCCUGGGCCACUGAAGUGGAACACUCAAACUUAACCACCACGCCACCCGGCUGGCCCCCUUCGGACACAACUUUUAACCUUCAUCAGCCUCAAGUGACCACCUGUAAAACGGCUACAAGGUCUGACUGUCUAUGAGGCUGUGAGCACUUGGUGAUGUUUAAUAAACAGGGCCUGGACUAGGGCAAGAGAGUAUACAACAUUGGAGCCACAAAGUGUGAACUGACGUAUGAAUUGGAGAAAGAUGUUUGCCGGGUAGGAGGAAUGUGGAAGACCACGCUGGCUCCAAACUGUGAAGACUGAGGCACAUAUUAGAAGAGUCUUCUCCCCAACAGCUCCCAUCUAUACCAGUUACCAGUUUGCUGCUUCUACCCCAACGACCAGGCCGUCUCCCCUACGCAGAAACCUAUUAACCCUAGGAGGUGCCCUCCAUCCCCGAUCUCUGCAUGCAGUACCAGUAGGCUGGUAUCAAGCACCUUCUCCAUAAGAUGUCUCUUCAAGCUCUCUGGAGUCCUGAGAAGACCCAACAGGCAGAACGUCUAGUGAGAUUAGCCCUGUCUGGACUGAAGAACAAGUCAUUGUCUUUAGCGAGUAUUGGUGGUAUUGAUGCACCAGAACGGUGAUGGAUUUGUGGCACCCUCAUAAUACAGUCAUGUGUCAAUUGAAUGCCUGGGAGGAAGACAUUACCACUCAAGCAUAAGAAUGAAAAAUUGUAGAUUCUAGAGGGAAUCAAGAACACUGUGUCUGAGAUCCUUCCUAACGAUGCAUAGAAAUAAUAGGAGAGAAGGAGGGAAAAGGGGUCUUGAAAGGAGCGUGGGUCAAAGUUUAGAGUAAUAAUGUUUGUACUGUGGUUAUAGUUAUAGCUGUAUAAUCCAUCCUGAGGCUGAUGUGGUCUGGAGAAAAGGGGAAGAGGCCUUAAUAUUUUAGAUUUAUAUUGAAAAUACCUGUUCUUUUUUGUUUUAAGGAAAGGUACAUGAACUUUGGGCUCUGACAGAAUUGGCCUUCAUUGCUAACCACCAUCAUUUACUAGUUCUGGAUACUUGAGCAAGUAAUAAAACCCGCCUAAAUCUGUUUUCUCAGUAAACUUGGGUUCUCAUGGUGUUGUUGGGAUCUAUCUGAUCUUAAAGAGAACUGACUGUUUACCAAAGAGGUCGCCCUCAUCUGCGAAGGCAAAGGCAAGGUCUUUUACAGUCCUGAAAGCCCCAUAUUUGUCUCUGGAGUUAGCAUGGCCUCUGUGAGACAGACUAGGUGUUCAGCCUUGUGCUCCACAGCAUUGUCUCUCACUCAGCUAUCACCUGGGGCCAGAUCCCUUCAAAGGGUGCUGUGAUCCAGGCCACGAUGACAGCUUAAGUCAUACGCUCCCCUGCACCCCCAAUCUGGCAUGAUGAUCUAAAGCCCUGCCUGUGCCUUUUCUGAGAUGUGUUCAGAAGUAGGCCUUACCUCCUGACUUCCAGAGGAGGAGAGCCGGGGAUCUCUGUGAAGGAGCACUCCCAGUGCCUCUGGGGAAGCCAAAGGCACUACCCCCCGCCCCCCUCCAGCAUGUGACAGGAACCAUCCCAUAUCAAAGGCAACUGUGGCAGAGGAAAAGGUCUGCUUCAGGGAGGGAAGGGAGCCAAGCUGUGGAGAGCGCUUAAAUAGAACUGGCAGCCAGAAUCUUUGAUGGCCCUAGCAACAAGCACUUGAGUGGCAGGACUGUAGUGUUGAUUUUUCUUUUAAUCUUCUCUCACUUCAGGAUAACACAGUUCUCUGCUGGAAAAGUCAGUCUUUACCGAUUUCUGGCACUGGGGCCAAGAAUCACAGAAAUACUGCUUUGGCUAAAAUUCUGAAAUAAGACCUCAUUACCUAUGAUUACAAAAAAGAGAGAGUGAAUGUGUCUGUAUAUGAUAUCUCUUUUUGUGGUCAUGAUGUUGCUUUUCACACCAUCUUUGUUAGGUGCCAUUAAAGGUGCCAGAGCCAACCCUACGAGCUGAUUGACGAAGGCUGCAUCAGAGAUGACUGACAAGGAAGGACAAAGGGCAAGAGAGCAAAAAGAAUUUAGAACAAGAGAGAAGUGCCUAAGUGGAUCAGUUACUGGGGAUAGGAAGAGCAUGCUGUUUAAAGAGCCAGAGGAACUUAGACAAGUGUUACUCAACCUGGCCCAAGAGAAAGUGUUGGAGGACCAAGAAUUUGUUAUUAGACAGAUGAAACAUAACCUUACCUCUGUGUUUGACUAGGCUCUGCAUGUAUGGUGUGGGGAGAGCAGGUAAAGUAAGGAAGCAGCGUGGAAUGUGGGAACUAAGGGAAUCUAAAGUGAUCGUCCAAACUUUGUGCAAUUACAGACAAAAAUUGUUGGUAAUAAACACUGACAUUGGACAGCUAGAUAAAAACCCAAAGGAGAUUAGCAGGACCAAAUUGAAAUAACUUAGUGUAACCAAAAAAUAGCUCAUGGAUCUUGUAUUAGUCUGAUCAAGCUACGAUAAGAAAAUACAGUCGUGUCUCAACAACAGGGAUACAUUCUGAAAAACGCUUCGUUAAGUGAUUUUGUCAUUGUGCGAACAUUGUAGAGUGUACUUACACAAAUCUAGAUGGCAUGGCCUACUACAAACCUAGAUGGCAUAGACUACUACACACCUAGAUGGUACAGCCUACUACACACCUAGGCUAUAUGGUACUAAUCUUAUGGGACCGCUGUCGUGUACGCACUCCAUGGUUGACAGAAAUGUCGUUAUGCGCCGCAUGUCUGUACCAUAGACUGGUUGGCUUAAACAACAGACAUGUUUUCUCACAGUUCUGGAGGUUGGAAGUACAUGAUCAAGGUGCUGGCAAAUUUGUUUCCUGGUGAGAACUCUUCCUGGUUUGUUGAUGGUCACCUUCACUGUAUGUCCUUACAGGGCCUUUCCUCCAUAUGUGCACACAGAAAAAGAGAGAAAGUAAGUUCUCUGGCGUCUCUUCUUCUGAGCACAAUAAUCCUACUAGGUCAGGGUCCCACCCUUAUGACUUCAUUAACCUUAAUUACCUCCUAAAAGAACUAUUUCCAAAUACAGUCACACUGGGGGUUAAAACUUCAACAUAUGAAUUUUGGUGGGACAAAAUUCAGUCCAUAGCACCCAGGUUUGAGAACAAAUGUUUUAGGCCAUUGGUUAUCAUCAAGGGGUGAUUUUGUCUUCCAGGGGACAUUUAACAAUAUCUGGAGACAUUUUUAGUUGUCUCAACUUGGGGAAGGGUUGCUACUGACAUCUAGUGAGCAGAAAGGCCAGAGAUAGUGACAAACACCCUACAAUGCACAAGACAACAGCCCACCACCACCGAAAGAAGCUUCCUUUCUUUCUUAGAAAAUAUAACACAUUAGGUGCCCCAGUGUUUUCAUGUGAAUGAGUUUGUCUUAUACUUUCCUUCCUGGUAAGAGACACAUGUGUCAGAGGAACCCUGCAGGAAGGGUGGAAAAGGAUGAAAUCUGACGCUGAGGCAUUGUCCACAGGUCAGGGACUCUCAACUCCGGCUGAGCGUCAGAACUACCUGGAAAGCUUUGUUGAAAUAUUGAGACCUCAGCCUACCUGCAACAAUGUGACUUAGUCUGGGAAGGACCAGACAGCUGUUGUUGUCGUUAUUAUUUUCAAGUUCUGCAAAUGAAUGUAGUGGCACAGACAGAGUUGAGACCCCUGUAGGUACUUUCAGCGCAUUAUUUUACAUAAUGCUCACGAUAGCUUGGUAAUUUAUUCCCAGUUGUAACAAUGAGAAAACAGGUCCAGAGGGCUCCAGGCCAUCACUAAAUGUUAAUAGAUAGAAAGUGGUAGAACUGAGAUUGUUACCAAAUCUGCCUGGCCCACCUAUGCCAAAGGGUGAUGCGUGUGUGUGUGCACGCAUGUGUGUAUGCUCUGUGUUUUGUGUGAGCUAGUGUUGAAAGGUGAUGACACCAAGUUAAGAUUCCUCUACUUCGUUUUUCCUGGCUUGGGAAUCCAAAGAUCCAGGGUAUUUUUUCUCCCUUUGUAAACUAAAUGGCAGAGAGAAAAACAAAGUAAAUUUCUCCCUUUCAACCCAAUUCAGGUUGAAUGAGGAUGGGAACAAGACUGAUUUUAUGAGUCAAAGGACCCAGCAUAUUGUUGUGCUCUGAAAUAUUUAGGAGUAGCACUCUUUCCUCUUUUCUAUUGACAUUUAGGUAGAAAUCCAUUGAAGGAAAUUAAAAACAAAAGGAAAACUAGGAAUUGACAGUCACUCAGAAGUACACAACUCAGAUUACAUAUGAAGUCAAGUAACAUAAAGAUCAACAAACUCAGUUUUAUUACCAUUCUUGACCAUCUUAAUCCUAACUAACUCAGUCACUAAAGCAGAUAAAUCUUAUAAAUGAAAUCAGAAAUUUAUUUUUAAAAUCUCAUUCAGAGGUGAAAUCAUUAAUUUAUAUCAGAUAGUACAAACCUCUUUUAAUUUAGCUGCCAAAAAUGGCUGCCUUGAGUGUCCUCAAGGACCCAUGUGGAUCAAAGAGACAUGCCAGCACCUGGUAAACUAUAAGUUGCCACAUGAAAUGCAUCACUGUCAUCACUUUUAAUUUUAAAUUAAAAUGUAAAAUGUAGCUAGCUUCUAAGAGCACCAUCUGGGCCAGUCUUCCUCUUAUUCUCCCAUCUCUCUGCUCUUCCCACCUGCCCUUCCUCCUUUUCCUGAUGUCCUUCACCACACCCUCCACCACUCUCCACUCAUUCCUACGUGGUCUAACCACAGGAGACAUGGUCCCAUCUUUUGCAUAUAAAAACUCAAGAUUAUAAACAAACAAAUAAACUUUGAUGGUGUACAGCUAGCUGAGAAAGCUGAAUUCCAAAGGGUUACUAUGUUCCUAGUAAAAAGAGGGAAUACCAUGCGCACUUGGAAAAGAAACAGAAAUGAGCACAGUAAUGCUUUGGCAUCACAUAGGUGUAGGUUCUCCUUUUCUUUUAUUGCUAUUUCAAUGUUGUGUGUUUUUUUUUUUAAAGAUUGACAUCUGAGCUAACGAGUGUUGCCAAUCUUUUUUUUUUUUUUCUGCUUUUUUCUCCCCAAAUCCCUCCAGUAUUUAGUUGUAUAUUUUAGUUGUAGGUCCUUCUAGUUGUGGCAUGUGGGACACCGCCUCAACAUGGCCAGAUGAGCAGUGCCACAUCUGCGCCCAGGAUCCGAACUGGUGAAACCCUGGGUCACCACAGCAGAGUGUGCCAACUUAACCACUCAGCCCCGGAGCCAGCCCCUAUUUCAAUGUUCUUGAAGGAACAAAUAAAAUAC